rnacentral:sRNA from 1 species
UUUUAGCCCCGAUAGUAGCGGCAUCUUUUAUAAUUUGUUCCUUACAUUUAAAGGAACAAAUUAUAAAAAUAUAGCGAAUAGCGGGACAUUUA